rnacentral:rRNA from 1 species
UGGGGAAUAUUGCACAAUGGGCGCAAGCCUGAUGCAGCCAUGCCGCGUGUGUGAAGAAGGCCUUCGGGUUGUAAAGCACUUUCAGCGGGGAGGAAGGCGUUAAGGUUAAUAACCUUGGCGAUUGACGUUACCCGCAGAAGAAGCACCGGCUAACUCCGUGCCAGCAGCCGCGGUAAUACGGAGGGUGCAAGCGUUAAUCGGAAUUACUGGGCGUAAAGCGCACGCAGGCGGUCUGUCAAGUCGGAUGUGAAAUCCCCGGGCUCAAACUGGGAACUGCAUUCGAAACUGGCAGGCUAGAGUCUUGUAGAGGGGGGUAGAAUUCCAGGUGUAGCGGUGAAAUGCGUAGAGAUCUGGAGGAAUACCGGUGGCGAAGGCGGCCCCCUGGACAAAGACUGACGCUCAGGUGCGAAAGCGUGGGGAGCAAACAGG